GGACUACUGGGGUUUCUAAUCCUUUUUGCUCCCCACGCUUUCGCAUCUCAGGGUCAGGAGUGUCCCAGUACCUUGCCUUCGCCUUUGGUGUUCCACACGAUAUCAACGGAUUUCACCCCUACACCGUGUGUUCCUGGUACCUCUAACAUCCUCUAGUCUCGCCGUAUCUCCUGCACUUUCGGGGUUAGGCCCCGAGCUUUAACAGAAGACGCGCGAAACCCCCUACAUGCUCUUUACGCCCAAUAAAUCCGGAUAACGCUUGAGGUCUACGUUUUACCGCGGCUGCUGGCAC
rnacentral:rRNA from 1 species